ACUUUCGCUGUCAGCUGAUCAAGCGAUCGUGGCGCCACCAUCGGUAGCCGAAAUCGCGAAUAAAGAACGAUUUAUCCGUAAACAAGAUUUUCGAAAUAAACGUUUCGUCAUCUUGAUUUUUCCUUAAUCGGCAAAACUCCAAACGUUUUGGGAGAUCCCCCGGCAAAAGUUCUUGAGCCUUUACUUCGUGGUAUGGGUGAAGGUAUUCAUCGUGAAGAACCCGCCAAACUGUGGUUUGGAGAACGUUCAAGUCACUAUUUAACGCAUUUGUGCUUAUAGUGUUGUCUGUUUACACAUGAUUUAAAAUUUCUUCCCCCAAUUCUACAAUUCUCACGGUCCGGGGUCUUCCUCCACCUUCUCAUUUAAGUCGAAGCGACUCAGUUUCCCGAAAACGCCGAUCAAGAGACACAACCAUUAAUCGCAGGGACUCAUCUAUUUGAAAAUUUCGGGCCAAAUAUCGCCUUGUUGCAAGAGCGUUGCCAUUGCACUUUCCAUACGCCAGGAAAUAAAUUAAGACCAAAAGACUCAAAAUUUUAUGAUCUGACACCAUCGAUCCGACCUUACCUCCCUGCGCCCUCCUACAAAUUAAUGGUUGUGAUUCGUAAGCGGUCUGAGGACUCUAGGGGCUGUUUACUAAUGCCACAAGUAUCGUUUCAGUUUUAAUUCAUGUUCAUUUCAUGUUAUAAACAUUAUGUUAACUGGUGUAAACUUGGAGAGCCAAAAUAGUUGCAAAACUUUAUCGAGAAAUUUUUCUAUAUUAACUUUUUAGGUGAGUCAUUAGAUUAUUUCUCUGUUGCUGUAUAUACUCCAAUUUGGAAUAGAUCCGCACCCGGAUAUUUAAGCUUCUUAUGCGGAUAUUCUGUUGGAACGAGUGUCCACAAACGAGGGCCCAUCUUCGUAGACAUUAAACAUUUAAAAAUUAACAUACUAUUUAAAGAUUUACAUUAUUACAUACCAAAUUCCUGUUAGAAUGUUAUAGUAUAAUAUUAGUAAUAAAAAUUGCGGCAAAAUAUAAUAUUACAACUAAACGCCGAAGUUGAUUACAAAAAAUAUUUGCAAAAUAAAAUUAAAUGUAUGAAAUGCAUCAAUAUAAAAACGGCAAUGUUUUGGAAAAAUGUGGUAAUAGUAUAUUAAUAUGUAAUAAGUUUUAUAAACUUCGUUGUAGUCACGAUUUGGUAUUGAUCAUAAGUUCAUAAGUGAAGCGGAGUGGAGCGCAUGUUUAAUAAAAUGUGUGACUAACAAGUUUAUAAAAUAAAGACCGGUUUAUAGAA